GGAAACCGAGUUCUUUUGUAGCAUUUUAGUUAGAGUUAUAGAAAAAUCUAUAACUCUUAUUUUGUUAAGUAAAAAAAAAAAUCUUAUGCUCUUCUAAUUUUAGUCACCAAUAACAACUAUGUUAGGAAUAGUAGAAAAUGUUAUGUGUGGUAGAGAAACUGUUUUAGUGUGGUGUUGUAGGAGUACUGCGGGUCUAAGAAACUUUGUUUUCAUCGAUAAAUUAUUCUAUUGGUCUAUUAAAACAGUAUGAAAACUUUCCAGUAUUUAUAUUUGAUGUCUUUUUUUCAUUUUAUUUUAUAAUUGUAAUUUAAGUUUCAAAAAGCAGCAAAAACAACUUGAAAAGAACUAUCGCACAAUGACUCGCUUAAACACAGGAUUCCAAUUUCCUGAUAUACAUGGAAAUGCUGAUAUUGCUUUCACUAUAUUGUCUCUUUGUAAUGUGUAACAUCAUUUUUACGUAGGUUUGCCAAAUGACCGGCUUUUACAGAGUAGAAUAUAGUCCCAAACAUAUACAGUUCAGUUCUUUUACUGCUUUCUUCUUCAUUUAAGCCGGACGUCUUGCAACCCUUGAAUUUCCCCUUCUUUUUGUUUGCAUAAAUUACAUAAUUCUCUUAAUUAUAAAUACUCCAAAUCCGAUUUUCGAACAGCUUAUUUUAAAAUCUAAAGAAAUGUAAGCGAUUAAAGAUUACAUUUUGCAAGCCAACUAGAUGCUUAAACAACUCAAAAGACAGCCACGCGCUCAUUAUAACUCUCUUAUAGUUUUAGAAUCUGAAAAUGAACACACAAGAAAAUUUAAACGACGAUGAUGGUGACUUUUUUAGAAAUGUGCAGGAGAUAAUGGCAGAAGAGACAGAGUCUUUUCUGCCUUAUUUUAAAGAAUUCUCCGAUAAUCAAAAAAAUUUAGAAAGUAGAGUUAGUAAGCAAAAUUUCAUUACAUUACUUUUAUGUAUAUUAAAUAAAAAAUAAUGAGGUUGGCUUUAGUAAUUUGUUCAUCUAUUUAGAAAAAUUAGAAGAUUUACAAAAGUCCAUAGGUGAGUAAAAUUGCUUUUAUGUUUAUUAUACACCCUAAUUAUUUAUGUACAUCUAAUAUUAAAUGCGUUUUUUCAAUUUGAGAUUAGUUUUGGACUUUGUACUUUUUGGUCAAUUUUUUUAGAUAUCAUUUUAAACUACAUUUGUAAGUAACUAUAUUAUGUUUUAUGUCUCAUAAAAGUUUUAAUAAAUAAUAUAAUGUAAUCACUUAUAUAGUGACAAAUCCAACUUCCUCAGUAACGUAUGUUGUUGUACUCACUUAUACUUGACUUAUUACAUUAAUUGAUUGUUUUUAUUGCAUUUUUAAUUUUCUUUUAUUUAUCUCUAGCUGCUGCUUCUUCUGUUACAACUGCUGCUUCUUCUGUUACAAGCUCGAAGUCAUGGGAAGAUUUCAGAAAGUAUCACUCCCAGCAUCCAGGCCCUCUAUCUAUGAGGGCCUUCCAUCGCUGGUGUUUGUAUGGGGACGACCAUCCCUCCUUUAGAUGGAGGGAUGGCACCCCAUACAACACGGGGAAUAGAGCGGAUGCUGGGAGGAGAAGACAACGUGGCGCAAAAGUUGUCAAUAAUUUUUUUACAUAUUAAAAUGUGAAGAAAUUGACAACUUUUGAGCCACUUCAUUUUUUUUUUGUAAUAUAUUUUUGUAAAUUUA